rnacentral:rRNA from 1 species
GACGAACGCUGGCGGCGUGCUUAACACAUGCAAGUCGAACGGAAAGGCCCUGCUUUUGUGGGGUGCUCGAGUGGCGAACGGGUGAGUAACACGUGAGUAACCUGCCCUUGACUUUGGGAUAACUUCAGGAAACUGGGGCUAAUACCGGAUAGGAGCUCCUGCUGCAUGGUGGGGGUUGGAAAGUUUCGGCGGUUGGGGAUGGACUCGCGGCUUAUCAGCUUGUUGGUGGGGUAGUGGCUUACCAAGGCUUUGACGGGUAGCCGGCCUGAGAGGGUGACCGGCCACAUUGGGACUGAGGUACGGCCCAGACUCCUACGGGAGGCAGCGGGGGGGAAUAUUGCACAAUGGGCGGAAGCCUGAUGCAGCAACGCCGCGUGCGGGAUGACGGCCUUCGGGUUGUAAACCGCUUUCGCCUGUGACGAAGCGUGAGUGACGGUAAUGGGUAAAGAAGCACCGGCUAACUACGUG